rnacentral:lncRNA from 1 species
UAAACUGGUGUAACAUGUGUGGGAUUACAUGCAAGCCUCAUGGAUUUUCCCUAGGCGUUUUUGCCCGCGUUGACAGCAGUAUCCUGUAGAUGAGACAAAAUAAAGCAAAUCCAUGGCUUGUGUGUGUGAUACUAUAUCAGAUUACCAGUCUGAUGCCUUUGAUGGCAAAUUGGCAACUGAGAAUUUUUAUUUCCACCUUUAGUUUGCUCGAUAUCUGUGGCGGAAUACCUUCGCGUUCUUGGCAAUUUUUGAAGUAUGACGAGCAAGGCGAAUCGCCAAACCUUGGGAUGAAUCUGUAUGGGUGGGAGUAUAGGUCUGGGAGUGUAGGUCUUCCAAGCGUUGCAAAACUAUGACGUAGCGAGGACACUGAAGAAAUGAAUGAAGCGUGGUUUCUCGGCGACAAUUGCUAGGCGCGGACGAGCUCGCGCGCUCCCGGAAUCUUCAUGCGUUCGAUCCGCUGGAGGCACGAGGUGCCCGCUGUAUUGUACGUGACAGGUGAGGACAGUUAAUGUGCGUACGUAACGGGCAAGAGACGUUGGUGGCGCCGGCGUUAUACGAGGAUUUCACGGUGUUUAUGUAACGCGUCGUCUGUCUACUGUUCUGGACUUGUGUAUACCGGAAGUACGAGAUGGCCUGUAACGGUGAGGUACAGUAAGUAGUUGGCCGGCCCGCUGGAUGUAUUUAACGCAAUCCACGGGUGCUUCUGGAUCUGGUCCCCAUUCGAUCCGCAAAUCGCAAGACAAAACCCUAGACUGGCCCCACAGUUUCUUCUAGGUCGUCCCAAAUCGGAGAAGAUAGAAGCCUAGGUAUCGAAGAUGGCAGAUCCAGUAGCGGAUCCAGCUGCUCUGCCAAUCGUGCCUUGUCCGAAUUGCGGCAGGAACGUGGUGACCUACAUUGCUAGGCGCGGGCAGAACGCCGGUCAGCGUUUCUACAAGUGCCGGAAUCACAAUGUAAGUCAAGUUUCUUGGAUUGGGUAUGGGUGUUUUUUGAGAUGUUUAGCUUGGUAGAUUAUCACGAGGUCCGUGUUCUUGUGGAUCCAUUGCAGCCUUCAGCGGGCGGAUGCGAUUUCUACAGGUGGCAGGAAGGCUAUGCGGCGCAUCUCGCCAAUCUCGAAGAAGGAGAAGCUGCUGUGGGUCAAAUCGGUCCGGGUCAGAUGCAGGGUGGGCAAGCGGUCCAAGCUCAAGUUGUGCAGGCGCUUCACGGCCAGCCGGUGCAGCAAAAUGGGCCGCCGGAGGCGUCGCAGGCUGCAUCGUUUGCAAGUGCUGUCGCAGGAUAUAUGCUCGCGGCUGCUCCAGUUGCCGGUCGGCAGGGUGUGACAGUCGCCGACGCCGCGUCCAUCAACCUGGUGGUAUCAGUAGCAAACCUGGUAAUUGGGGUGGCAAUUCUGCUGUUGCUUGUGGCAGAUGUUGUCCUGCGCGUGGUUAAUUAGGCGAUGUGGCCGUUCUUAUGUGGCCGAGAUGGCAGCGUGGUUAAGUAGGAUUAGGCUUAGUGUUAUAUAAUAGUACGUUAUGAUUUUGUAGUUGGUCGAAGCGUGGACGCCAAGGGUGAGUGACGAUGUAACCAUGUAGUGCUAAGUGUGGACGAGCUGCAGAUGUAAUGUCGUGUUAUCUAAAUGCUAUGGAUGAACUGAUGGUUUGAUGCCUACGGUGUGUGAAUUACGUCGUUUUUUAUUCUGUCAGAAUGGGAGUUAGGAGGGAAGGCUUUUUAGAAUGAAUGUCAUUUUUUCUUUUUUGGAUUUUAAGUCGUGUUUUUUAGGAGCUGGCGUGCAUGUCUGAAACGGAUGGUCACCAAGAGGGUUAAUCAUUGUUUGUAUGCAGAUAUUCAGGCAUAAAUGUUUUUAUCCCUUUUGUGUUGUAUUGAUUUAGUAUUUCCCCUUAUUCAUGCACGGCAAAGAUAUAUUUUUAAAAUACAAGCUUAAUAUUUUUUAUAUGUGUCCACAAAUUUUUAUAUGCAUAUUUUUUAGUAUGGUUUUGAAAUGCCCGAUAAAGAUUUUUUUGAAAAUAAAACAAUUACAUCUUUUAUAUUUAUGGUCAACAUUUUUAUAAACACAGUUAAAUUUUUUAAAACAGAAGUGUUGUUUUUUUAUGGGUAGUCAUUCUUUUUUUUAACGCAUUUACAUUUUUUUAUAGUGGAUGACAACAUUUUUUGAAUAAUUGUUUUCACCAAUUUUCAAAUGCUUGCUAAUUCUUAUAAGUAAUAAUUAACCCCUUUCACACAUGCUUUAUAUAAUUGGUAUACACUCUUAGGGAAGAGAAACAUUUUAUUUAUACACUUUGAACAUUCCUUGCAAAUGCUGAUUAUUUUUUCUGACAUGGUUACCACCUGUUUAUUCGCAACUUUCUACAUUUCUCAAAUGAUUGAUUAUCCUUUUGUUAUACUUUAUUUUCGAUUUUUAUGCAAAAAAUUUAUACUAUCAGAUGCUUGCUUAACAUUUGUCAAGCACAAGUUUUUUUGUUUUUUAAUAUCCGGUCAGUAAUAUUCACGCAUAGGAGGUGAAACAAGCGUGUAACAGUAGUACUCCUCGUCCCUCACGGUUAUUGGGCUGUCCGUUCAUGUGGGCUGGCCCGUCGUCCGUAGACUGGCCUGGCUCGUGCAUCCCUUGGCAUCGAAAUCGCCCGGAGCCUUGUCGGAUGUGCUCGACCACCUACGCCCUUAUCCGCAUCUGAAUGGCUAUCCAGUCAGAGACGCCACAGCCGGAGCUUCAGUUCAAAGAAAGGUCGCUGGAUCUGGAUCUCGUGAAGCAGGUAUCUGCUCCGUCGGCUCUGAAGGCAGGAUUGCAGUAGCUGCUCGGGUGCUGCCCUUGGCGCCUCGCCGCGCGGGUAUUCGCUGGUACGUUUUUCAUGGUGUCAGAUCUAAUUUCGGUUGUGGCAUGUAGUUUUGCAUAUAGAUUUUGUAGCUUGGAAUUGAGGAGUAGAUCCAUGUCGUGAUUCAGUUGCAAUAUUGUAGAUGGACGAAGAGUUUGAGGACCAAGAUUUUUCUGAUGGAGCGGUGGGUGAGGGAGAGCCUGAACUUGAUCGGACAGAAGAACAUCAGCCAGUUAUUACUUCUCGGUUGUCAGUUAAGCGUGUUGUAGAGAUGGUCGCAAAAUUUUACGAAUACAAGAGAUGGCUUGUAACCGAAAUUGGUUUUGGUGGAAUCCUGAAGAUCCCAAUGCUUGUCAAGUUGGAUCUGAGGAUGAGUGCUUGGGUUAUGAGGAAGGUAAAUGCUCGGUGUCGUGUAAUCGUCAUUGAUAAUGACAAUAUGAUUGGUUUCACAACAGAAGAUUUCCACAAGGUUUUUGGCAUCCCAUGCGGUAAUCGAGAUGUGGGUGGCAGGGAUGCACAAAUUUCUCAGUCUGCAAUCAAUUUCAUCAAGCAGUCAAUUGGGAUGGACAGUACAGUUGCUCAUAAUCUGAAGGUGGCUGAAAGUUUCUUAAGUAGAGAUAUUUCAGAGGAUUCGAGUAAAAUUGAAAAGGAUUGUUUUCAAAUUGCAUUCGUCAUCUUUGUCAUGGGCUAUUUGAUAGCACCGUGUACCAAGCAUGACACCAUGACGAUCGAUUUCUGGGGUGCUCUGGCCAAUCCGGAAUUGAUCCCACAGUUCAAUUGGUGUGAGUAUGCUAUGCAGAAAUUGAUGUCAGCUGUUGUGAAGUUGCAAAAUGAUUAUCAAAGCAAAGCGGCAACGGUUCAUAUGUUUGCGUGCCACCUUUUUUUACAGGUGAACACAUGUGUUAGUUUUUUAUAGUUUGGGUGUGGAUUUUCAUGAAGCGAUGUGUGUGUACUAUUGAAUUCUUGUCCCUUACUUGAUUAUAAUCCAUGGUAGUUUUUCUUGCCGGACAACAUUGACCUUGGAUUGUUCAAUAUGUCGCCAUCUGAAUUGCCCCGCGUGCAGUGUUUUGAACAGAAAAGGUUUCGGCAGAUGAUCAUAAUGGCUUAUGGCAUGAAGCAUGGGAAGUGGGGUUAUGUCCCUGGAGGGGUAUGUUUUUUGUAGUUGUUGGUCUAAAAAUUCAGUUCGGUAGAGGUUGAGAAGUGAUUGCGUUUGUCUAUGUUUUUUUGUUCAAUGCUUGUAGGUGCGGCCUGCGGAGCUAGUUAUGUACACGCGGCCAGACAUGAUGCGCCAAGGAUGUAUUGACUCCCAUUCAUCAUCAGGUUCAGUGAAACAAUCAGUUCCAAGGAUGCCUGAUAGAGUGGACCAACGGACUCCGGAUUUGGGUGUGCAUGCAACGACGGCACCAGCUGACUCUUUGGGUGAUGUGAGGUCGGCAUACCAUUCACUUGGGCCAAGGGAUUUUGCAAAUAAUUUGCGCCGGACUUGCUAUGGCGAUCCGGUAAGUUAUGUUCAUCUAAUUAGGUGGGGUUGUGGGUGGGUAAUGCAAUGACUUUUUAUUGUUGAAAUUUUGAUGGAUAUCGGUAUUUAAGACAAGCAUUGUGCAUUCUGCAGGUCCUUGAAGAGCUGAGCCUGAUGCUGAAGCAGCAGAAUGCAAAGUGCACGCUGAGCAUGUCGUUGCUGCGGAGUAGGAUGCAGUCUGACAUGCUUAGCUUUGCUGAUAGAAUUGUAUUACUUGUGCGGGAUCGUUGUAGGUGCUGUCAAGCGCGCGGGCUGUCAAAGUGUGUCACACUGGAUGGAUCUUCCAAGUGCUCUGAUGGUAUUUUUGUCCACUAUAUCUGAGUAUACGAGUUUAUUGAAAACAAUCAGGAUAGGAUUGGUUACGGUUAUUGUUUUUAUGGAUGCAGAUGCUCAGGCCAUGCAUUCAAGGGUGAUCCCGAUGGUUGCUCGGCGGCUCGAAAUGUCGGAUGAUGAAGGUGCCGUAGGUGUGCAUACAUUGUGGAGGUCAGCCAGAUAGGAUGUAUGUUAACUUUAAUUCGUUCAUGCAGGUGGUAGUUCAAGCAAGGCUCGUUUUGAACGUAAUUCAGUGAAGAAGCCUCGGGUUGAUUCUUGUGAUGUGCGAGGUGAUCAAAUUUUUUUAUGCGUCAUAUUCACCUCAUCAAACUGUUGUCGGUGAUGUUUAAUUAAGUUGGUUCUUGUAGUCAACACGGUUUAAUUCAGUCUGUUUUGUUUGCUGUGUUAGAUAUGAAGUUGGGGUCAUCACAGCAGCCAAAUGAUGCCCCUGUGUAUGAUAACCCAGUUGCUGAGGAACGACAAAUGGAAGAGAAGAAUGUAGUAUUAGACAGGAUUAUUCUAUAUGCUCGAGUAAUUACGGACACAGUUAACUGUCUGUAUGACAUUGGAGAGGGCGAGCCCAAUGUUGUUUAUUUUGGGACCAUGGUAGCUACGUUGCCGAAGAGGAAGUAUGCUACCUCUGCAAGCUUUGCAUGCAACCCAUGGGUGAGUGGGUGUCUAGCUCAGCCCCCACCAAUCCCCUUGGUGGAUAAGUUCUAUAACUGGGUAUCUGGAAACAACGAUUUUGACCUUGAAAGGUAUAAUGUUGGUGUUCUUUUUUUGAAGUUCACGUCGUUAGUUAGAUGGUUAAAGAAAUUUUAUAAAUCAUGCUUAUGUUUGUGCGAUUUUAUGCAGCAUGUGGAUUGAGCAUAAAACUCCGCGGAUGCUUCGGGUAAAUGCUGUGUGUGUUCAGCAACAAUUAAUUGGGGGACAUCCUCUUGAUCAUGAGGUGGUUGUGCUUGCAAUCAGGAGGUUUAAUCAGCUUGAUGUUGGUGCACACGCUGUGAACCAGUAUAUGCUAUGGAGGGAAGUACUUGAACCAGAUUUCUCGGUCAGUAUCCCCUUUUUCCUUGUUUUGUGUAGACAUCUUGUAAAUGUUUGCUAGGUUGCAAUUGGCCAUGAAACGUGUUUGUUUUUUUACUGUGUCUAUAACAGACGCAUGCUCUUGCCUGGGAGAAAGUUGUGCAUAUAAAAGCUAUUCAGUUGCAAUUUUCGCAGUCUCUUCAUGAUGUCACGGCAUGUCAGACGGUAAGGUUUCGGCCAGUUUCUGUCAACUAGUUUGCAAUUUCGUUAAUGUGGAAAAGUAUUAUUCAUGCAAGCGUUUGUUGGUUGCAGUUCUUUGUGCCAGCCAUUCUUGACCAUGGUUGGGCAACAUACAUGUGGGAUAUGAUUAGGAAGGAGAUUCACAUACUGGAUCCUUUGUGUGCUCAAAUAGUGGGAGCAGAGCAGCGACAUACAACCCAUCACGAGGUGGUGUCACAGAUUCAUAGUGUGCUAUUUAGUUGCCUUAAUGAGUUCUUUGCAAAAUGGCACUGCACACCUGACAGAUGGAACCGGAAGUUCCCAAACAUAACCCGGGAAGUUUAUACAAGGUAAAUGACACUUUGUGCCGGACAUAUUUUUUAGCAGAUUUUUUUACAUGCUCGGCAGAGAGGUGAUGCAUGCACACUUCUGUAUAUGUGACAGGGAUGAGUCUGGUAUCUGCAUGCUGCAUGCGAUCAGGCAGUACGACGGUGAAAAGAUGAUGUGGCCUCUGACGAAGGUAAGAGAAUCUGUCAUUUUUUGGGUCUUCUCAUAUGAUGUGCCUUUUUGUUGUAUCUCAAGAUAGAUGUUUGUGUCGUUGCAUGUGACAAUGAAAUGUGCAGAAAAAUUUGGCCACUUUCCGAAAGACAACUAUUUUUGAGCUUUUCCGUCUGCGAGAUGAGCAGGGCAAUAUUGUGGGUGAUGAUGUCUUGCGUGCUGCUCUGGAAGGAGGCGAGGGAUGAGGACAUUUGUAUUUGUGUAGGUCGCGUGGAGUUUGCUUUAAAAAUGGUGGAUUGCUUUGAUGUGGUGUUGUGGGCAGAGGAUAUCUAGUUAUCUUGAAUAAAUGAACAUAGGUUUAAUUCGCGUGUAGUAUGAUAUUUUAAAUGUGUGGACGUAUGACAUGUAUGGAGGCUGGUGCAAUAGUUUGUGUGGAUUUGGUUGAGUUGGGUCUGUCUGAAUAUUUGUUUGUCUGGGAUUUAUUUUAUGUGUAUCAACGGAGAGGAUACUAUUAUGAGUGUUAGCUGUUUCAAUAUCAUUUUUAAGGUCUUAGCUCGAAGGUCCCUUCUGAAAUGGCAAUAUCUCCUGCAUGCGCUAAUUGUGUGACGAAUGAAAUCAUGCAUCAUUUUGUUUCAGAUGCCUCUGUAUUAAAUAUCUACACAAAUUGACUUGAUGAAUUUAUAACAAAAGAACCCUUUCCAUGUGUGUGACCAUUUUUUUCAGUCUCCUGUUGAUUGCCACCAGUCCCCCUCUUCGCUUCGCUGCGUUGCGCACGCAAUUAAAAAAAACACGAUGCGUCUAGAUGGAAAUGAGAAGGUCAAAUUUCAUUUGUUUCUUUUUUUUAUUUAACCUUUUGUCGGUGAACACUCAUGCAUUUUCAAGGGUCAUGUUUUGAUGAACGAGUAAUUGUGCUUCCCGUUUCCCAAAAGGACUUUAGUUGCCUAGGCUCGUUUUGUUUUGAUUAUGAUGGUAAUUCAAUAUGAUGUGGAGUUACUGUUGACAGUUUUGUUAUUUCAAUCUAGGAGCAUAUAAAACUGUUCCAAGGUGCCAUCAUGGAAGUUUGUAGUCGUGCUCAUAUGUACAAAUUCAUGAUCCAUAGGUAGUUGCCAAUGUUGCGCGUGUUUAUGCAUGAGUGUGAAAUGGGCAUGGGCAUAUAUGUGAAUGCGGAUCCAGUGGUUUUGAACUACAUUCCUUCUUUUUUAAAUAGAUUUUGGAGAAAAAUAUAAAGAUGCACAAUAGCAGAUGUGUUAACAUGACAUAGGUAAUAUGUUGGUUAUAUUAUCAUGUCGCGCAUUUUCAUAAUUUUAAGCAAGAGGGCAAAUUGAUUAUAAUGGGUUAUAUCUAAGAUAACAUUUAGCAUAGCAAUUUUCUGGUACAGAUAAGAUAAGGAAAAUUCAUUGUACUGGAAGUGUCAACCAGAUAAUAGCAUAUCAGUUCAAUGCAGCAUAGUAGUCGAUUACAUGGCAGCAAGGCCAGAUAGAAAUACUUGUACUGGUAGUGCAUAGAUAGGUAGAGAUAAGUCUUAAAGCAGAGACCAAUCAUAGAGUGACUUAGUCAUGGUGAUACUAUUAAUCCCUCUGCACAGGAAAGCUUGUCCAAAGCUUGUAACUCAAACGGAUGUAACAUCAAUUUGAGGGGCAAGCUUUUCAGCACAGAGGGAGUAGCCGCAACCCUGUUGCAUCGGUCAUAGGUUUGAUAUUGGUUUGUUUUUUUGAAGCAAGCAACUCCUCCUAGUCCUGCUUCCCACCGCAGAGGUAGCUGGCCAAUUCAGCCUUGUUGCCUUUCAUCAUCAGGACUUCAGAAGCCAUUUGUUUCCUCAGUUGUGCAAUGAUUUCCUAGGAAACAUAGAUGGAAAAUGCUUGAAGAUGAUGUAUAGUGACGUGAAAUAUAAAAUGUUAUUGAAUAUGUACUUUGCAUACCUCAGUAGGAAUUAAUUGUAGGAUAUCUCCAUCAAACUCCUUUAUGUAGUGUAGCACAUAGAAUCCACUGUCAGCUCUGCAUUUGUUUUUGGAUCUUUAUUAGGUUACUAGGAUUAGGAGCACAUAUAUAGAAAUGAUGGGGGUAUUGCAUAGUGGACUGUACUUGCUGCAGCUGGGGUGCAUGCCAUAAUUGCACUUGUAACUCCAUGGAAAUGUUGAAAAAUGCCAGUUUGGAUACCAUUCACGAAGACGAUUGAAAAAGGAAUCUAGUAUAAGUUCAGCCAUACGCAUAUGUUUUAUCUUCAUACUCCCCUGUUCUGACAUGGUCAUAGUUGGGUCCAUUAUGAACAUAGUUUUUUCAGCUAUGUCAAUUUGAUAGAGGCACCAUGAAUUGUCGACAAUGUGUACCACCAUGAACUGAAUAAGGAACAUGGAUGAGUUAUAUCAGUCUUUUAUUUUUUAGAUUGUUUUAUUGUGUAACAUUCAGUUAGCAACAAGCAAUGUAUUGUUUUUUAUUGCUUACCUUUUUGCAUUCUGCCAGGUUUGUUUCAUUGAACAUCCAGAAGAGUGUGUCUGUCUUGUAAUGGUCCUGGCAGUUGAUGGCUUGUUCCUGUAGGACACAUUUUAACAGAUGAAUAACAUUAUGAGGUAUGGAUGAGGAUGGAAGUGUCGCAUGUGAGAAAUCUGCAGUGCUGAGACUCACCGCAAAGCUUGGAGGAAAUAGCUUCCUCCACCGAGGAGUUCUGUAUUUGUAUAGUUUGCUGUCCUUCAUGUCUAGCGCCAAAACACCUGCUGACAUCCCGUUUGGUUUGAGGUCUUUAUUUUCACCAUAGUUCCGCAGGAUCGAGUGGCCAGUCAUCUCCAGGUGGCAAGGGUCAUCAAUUGAAAGCCAUUUCCUGUUGUUAGCACACCAUCAAUUUCAGUUAUAUUUAUAUUACAAUUGGGAGUGCAGACUCAAAGUUUGCAGGUACAUUUCAAGAUGCAAGAUAUAAAGAGAUGAAGAUCUUUGGUAGCCUGCAACCAGAAUUAUUAUUUUUCAUGUGCACUUGUGGGUUUAUUGUCAACGAUAAAGAUGCUUAUCAGGUGAGAAGAUGAUGUGCUUUUUCAAAAGGUUUAGAUGCGAUGUUGAGCUAAGUAGUUGACGGCAGAGCUUAUUUGCUGAAAAGUUAUGAAUGUAUGGCAAGGAGUAAUGCUCACAUGGAACGUUCACUCAGCUUGCAUUUUCUUAUCUUCUUGUACCAGUUGUCCACAUCAAUGGGGGGAUCUGUUGUUAUCCUCAGAAAUUUUGCUACGUGAAUGUCUGGCUCUAUUUUUGGAACUGAUGAAUUGUCUACAAUAUAUGCCAGGAGAAAAUUUGAGUUAGACAAUGACAAUACACAAAGAAUAACAGCUUGCCUCUCGGUAGCAAAAACCAUAUGGAUGAUAUGGUACAUUGGUUUUCAGAAACAAGAAUUUUUUUCCAUGGGAUCAUCAUUUGGAAAGCAAGAGAAGUGGAGAUGGGAAUAUGAAGGACAUGGUGAUGGAUGGAAUGUACCUUUAUGCGCUGGGUCAAUGUGAAUACCAGUGAUUACCACAGCUGUGUCAGCAUCAAUAGCUUCCAGAUAUUUGAUUUUAGGAGCCUUGACCUUUACGUGAUCUGCAUAGGUGUAUGAGCAAUUUUUGAAUCAUUGCCAAAUUGUAUAAUAUAUGUACAGGGCGAGCAUGAGAUUUUAAAAUUUGACAAGUUAGAUACAGGUAGGCUUGUUUCAUCACAUUUAUGGUUCUAAAACAAUUUUUUUAUUGAAAGUUAUGUGAUUAGAUAGAAGUUGCCAUGCAUUUGCUUGUACCUCUGCUCCUUUUAGCUUUUUCACUAGGUGCAGCUGAAUCAGCGCUAUCAGAUGUAGGCCGCCAUGGGUCUGAUGAGUUUUUGUUUGUCUUUGUUGGAGUUUCUGAUUCUGCCGCGUCUACAUUAUCUCUGAUAGCUGCAAGUUUGAAUUUUUAUGCAAGAGCGUUAAAGCAAUGAUCUAUUUGAAAUCAUGAUAUGCUCAUACAACAUUCGUUCACACGUUCCUAAACAUAAUUGAUGUGUUGUGUGUUCAUACAGGAGAAGAUGGUUAAUGGACAGUAGCGACAAUGUACCUUCAUCGCGGAGCAGCGUGUGAGUAGGAGUCACUUCAACAUUAGUAAUGUCUCCAGCCUCCCCGGCAACUGUAUGGUGAGCGCGACAUAUUAUUUUUUGCAGCUGGAGUUUUUUUUUGGUUGAUCGGUUGGUACAUCAAUGCUACAGCGUAGAGUUUUACCUUGUGACAACAAGUCUAUGCCAUAUGUUGUUUUUUGUACGGAAGUUGCUGGGCUCAUGUCCCACAAUGGUUGAUUCAUUGCCAAAGUGCUUGCUGGAACUGGAAGAAGGAUCAUUGUAGUUUAGCAUUUUGGAACAUAUCAUGAAUGAGAAGGCAGGCGACAUGUACCUGUGUCCGUGGAUGCACGUCCUGUUGUUGUAGUUUCCAUAGGUUGCUGAUUAGCUGCAACAGAAAUGACACGUGGUGUGCGUUGUCGUCGUUUGUAAGCUAUCACGACAGCAGGAUCUGAUGGCUUUUUCAUAUUAGUCUGAGUUUGAGCUGAUGGUGUACUACACAUACUCUGGACUUGCCCUAUAAGAAGGAGAUUUAUGCAAAUUGAGUUAUAUGCUUGCAGGCUGAGGUAACCAAGCAACAAAAAAUGUGUAUCACUGAUACCUUCCGUAGAAGUGCCGGCAACAUCCUUUUUACCAACAGCCUGCUUUGCCUGAGGUGCAUGUUUCUUUGUUUUAUAGUCAGGGGGUUGAUCAACAGAAGCUGCUUCUGAUGUUCUAUGCCUCUUAGCGUCUACCAUCAUUACAAUAUUUGAUCUCGGACGUUUCAUUGUCCAUGUUGGAUUUCAAGUGACUUCAGUGAUAUACCUACGGCUCCUUAAAUGAUAAGGUGUCCGCGGAAAAUGAGCUGAUAUUGGCACACCUGCAGAUAUAGGAAGAGCGUGGACAGAAUGUUUAGCCUGAACUGUGGCUUGUAUCACAGAAUGUUUAGUCUGAACUGCAGAUUGGUACCUUUGUUGCUUGGCUCAUUGUCGGGAGAUAUAUCAGUGAAACGAAGCACAUGAGGCGCAAGGGGCACCUUUGUUACAAUGAGAGUUUCUGCUUCUCCAGGAAUGGUAGGUGCUGGCAAUCUAGCUUCAGGAGUCUUGUCAACACAUGGAGGUUGUUCAUCUGUUGAUGGGAUGACAAACAUUAGACAUAAUGCGAGCGCUGAGUUGUCAUUUUAAAAAGGAAAAGGGUAUGUUAUGUUAAGUACAUGGUUGAGAGACUGAUUUAGCCAUCUGUACAAGAGUGCGUGCGCAUGCAUUUGCAAAUGGCGAUCCUUGAGGGAGCUCUGUCUGCAGGGCUGUAUCAACAAGCAUGAAGUUUAGAUAUUCUGCUGCUGUUGGUACAAUGACAAAGCUAAUCAGAGGAAAUUUUCCAUGACUCACGUGUUACGAAUCUUGGGGUGGAAUUUGUUUUUUGUAAUUCAGAGCCAGUGCAGUCCUGUUUCUUCCUGCGUGCCUUUGCUAAUUGUUCUUCAUGGGUCUGUGUUGAAGCUUGCACCAACUGCCCUGCUGAUGUAGCUGGAAGAAGCAAGGGGGGCAGAUAUAAUCAAGUGGUUAGUAAUUUUUUAGCGGUGGUAAUGAAAUGGAGGAAAAAGGAGUGAGAUUUUGUCAGGAACGGACAUUGAGUAACCACAACAGCUUUUGUAGCGCCGACCAAGGGGCUUGGAGUUAGCCGGACACGUUGUGUGCUCAACCGUGUUUUUUCUGUAGCGGCAAUCAAGGCCAUGAACUCAUCAUACAUCAGAGAAGCAGCUUCCUCGAGAUCGCCACAAAUACGAUUAAUGAGAGUUUUGCAACGCUCUUGGUGUUCAGCAGACAACACCUCAUCAGGAGGGGCAGUGAUUUUCAGCAAAAUGCAACACAGCGCUCCGCAUCCGAGUGCAGACUCUAGAAGUGAUGUAGUGACGGGCAGCAGUCUUGACUGUCUGAAUUGGAAUCAUGGACCCCUGGAGCAGGAUUGGAUGGAUAUACCACGACCCUUCAGAGGCCCUUGUUAAAGGUUUUGUCUGUUUGUGCAUGUCCAUUAGCAAUUUUAGUUAGAUAUCGUUCCUAAUGUAAUAGAUUGAUCAGUUUUGAAAUGAUAGGAUUAGGCACUCACCUUCAAUCUUUUGUCUGGAUCCCUUGCUAUAGUAAAUAUGUCCUUCAAGGUGUCAUUGCUAUAUGCAGAUAUGCAUGGCCAGAUACUGGCUGUCAUGUUGGUUUCAAAAUCAAUCCAUUCCGCAAAGAACACCUGAAGGAGAUGAGGACAAGAAGUACCUUUUUGCAUUAGCUUUUUGCAUCUACUUUUUGGUAAUCAUGCACAAGGAUGAAAAGGACACAAUCAUAAAGAGCUUUUUUCAUUAUUCCAUACCUGAAGACAUAGUUGAAAUCCUCCCAUUGGGCACGCCCCUAUUUUGCUUUUGUUUUUGUAGUGAAGCUGCACAUCUUUUGCGUUCUGCAUGAUGUGGUCAAUGAUGAACUUCCCCCAGUUAAAUGAACCGAUUUUAUCUGGCUUAAUGACACAGUGAAGCACCUCGUCAGGCACUAACCCACAGCUGGCUUGUGGCGCAAUCAUCGUUGCACACACAAGGAGAGUGUAGCCGACAUUUGUUGCGUCCAAGUGCUUUUUAUUUGUGGAACGCGGAUCUAUGUUCCUAAGUACUGUCACCACCUCCUUAACCUGGAUUUUCCCUCUUUUGGCCCUUCCCUCUGCCACCCGAUCUAUCCCAAGUAAUUCUAGAACAGCAGCCCGAUUUGUAUUGAUCUCGCUUUGCAGGGUUUCUGAUACUAAUGGGAUGGGCUUAGAUCCUGACUUUAUCCCCGUAACAAACUCUAUAGCUGCUUCAUUUAGGGGUCUAUUCUGGCCAUCUGGGAAUGUCAUGGUUUUUUUAUCUGUAUCGAUGUUCAUAAGCAAACUCCAGUACAUCUUGUUGUCUCCUCCACCGGAUGCACGAGUCGUUAACAGGGAUGCUAGUCCAGAUGGUUUCACCUGUUCGUACAUCAGGGGCGAGAGGGUGCCGACGUACGCCGUCGUGAAGCCGCAUCGAACAUUGGGGAUGUCAUCAGCGUCAGAGCCUUGCAAGCCCGUUGGCUUGUGCGGGCCGCUCCCCUUCCUCCUUGGAACUUCGGCCACCAAUGCGUCCGAUGCGGCUCGAUCUGGGUCGGCACCGUCGCCCUCUUCCAGCAGGGGCAUCGUGUUGCUAGCACGUACGGACGAGCUACCAGCUGCAUGCAAACACGCCGUAAAAAAUCCAAUUAGAUGCGAGAUUAGAUGCAAGCUACAGUGCUACAGCGCAAGAUCCAUCUCAGAGACAGAGAAGAAGAAUGCGGAAGCGAAGACAUGUACCUCGCUCGAUGGAGCUUCACGCUCCGCUAAGCUUUCCGAUUCGGUCAGCGGCGUCGAGUCGCGUGUAUUGCCGCCGUUGCACUGAGGGGCGGGAAGGAGCGCUGUGAGGAGCGCGGAGGGGCUAUUGAGGAAGAAGAAAGAAGAUGUGGCCUGGAUUGCUAGAUGCUCCUAGCAGAGCGUGUAGAUAAGGCAAGGGCUGGAUGCCGGAAGCGAGGCACGCCCGCAUGCACAGUGUUUAGUUUCACGGGGCCCAGCAUCAGCGACGUAACCACUGCACGGUCUCAUGGGUUCGGACCAAAUUCAAUGCACCCGCUUUUUGUUGCCUUACCUCAUUUGUAUCGACGACGCGGGCUAGAGACAGGGGAAAAUAAGGCAAAGGUGGGCACGUGGCGAAGCGUAUCUGAGAAGAAGCGCGUGCGUCGGACACGCAUCCCGGGCUGGGCCAAGCCAGAUGAAUUGCAGUUGUGGGUUGGUCGGCUGAAAUAAUGCCGUUCGUUUCCCAAAAGUGCUACUGUAUCUCACUAGUCUAGAUUUGGCCGGAUGCAUCAGUCUUGGAUUGUGCCAACUGGCUCCCUCGCGGGCAGCACGGACGCAUGCAUAGACAAUUGUCUGUUUGUCCAGGGGAUCAGCUCAGAUUAAUAAUGCAGACGGUCCACCAUCUGGAGUGUGCUGCCUUGCCUAAUGUGUACUUGGCUGUCAGCGCAGCUUAUUAAACCAUUGUUCGUGGCUGAACACACAAACCUCCUGAUUCGUGUGUGGGCGGUGGACAAGGAACUGAUUAUAACUAAAAAAUCAUUCAUCAACUAAGGAGAGAGUUACUGCUGCAAAAAAUACAUUAAAAUGUCUUUAUUGCAAAACAUGCAUAUUACAACAGAAAUUCAUAAAAAAAAUAUUACAAAACAUGGAGUAUUUAACCAAAAACUACCACAUUUCACGGACAUGUGACAGAAAACUACCACUUUACGUUUUUGUGCGGAAAACUACCAAAUUUGUCCUAAACCGUGGCAAAAAACUACCAACUCGCGUAAGCACUCGCAUCGCCCGCGCUAACCUCGAAUCUGACCGGUUGGGCCCGCGAAUCAGUUGCCACGCUGGCAAUGGACGGCCGCCGCGCGUUGACGGCCGUUAACGGCCCGUCCGCUGUUGGAACGGCGGCUGCCGGCGGUCCAAUAAGUGAGAGCGAGCUCAGGCACUCGCUCAGUCUCUUCCUCCUCGCUCGCUCUCACUCGUCCUCAUCCUCUCCCUCUCCCUGGUGCCGUCGCCGCCGCGGCCAUUGCUGCUGGUAGAAGUUGAGGAUGCCAUCUUGGAAUGACGAGGAGAGCUCGGACGAGGACACCAACAUGGUUUCAAUGGAUCCUCAUCUCUUUGUAAGUGCAUAAUGGUGGAACAGAGUUAGGGUUAGGGUUAGUUCAUCCAAAUUGGAGAUUCGAAUUUGCUUUAGGUUUGAUUCGAAGUUUCUUUUGCAGGAAACCCCUGACAGUGUGGUGGAACCAACUUUUUGUGGUUCUUACACUGAAUCUGAGCCGACGUGCAUGAUGCAUCAUCAGAGGCCGAAGAAGAUGGUGGCUUUUGAAGGUGCUUUGACUGGGAGGCGAUUCCUGGGUUGUCCUAUGAAGCAGGUAUUUAAUCUGGAACGCUAACUUGUUUUGCUGGUGGAGAUGUGUGAUGUGUUUUGCUGCUGGAGAUGUGUGGUGCAGCAUGUGGUGCAGAGAUGUGUGAUGUGCAGAGAUGUCUGCUGUAGUUUACAACUGAAACUUGAAAGUGCCAUACAUAUGCAGAGAUCUUUACUGUACUGUGAACUGAAUGUAUUAGUUAGGUGUUUUCUGAAUAUAGCUAUUAACUGAAAAAGAACAGAGUUAAAUGAAUUUAUAUCUACUGCUAAAUAUAGCUGUUAACCGAAUUUAUCUCUGAUGCUAAGUUAGGUGAUGUGUGCUUACUGUGAAAGAAUUAUGUUUGCAUAAUUCAGAAAACAUAUACUCUGCAUAUAUCAUGUGUGGAUAACUGACAGUAGUGACAUAGUUGGAAGUAGCAAGAUGCAAUUAGCUUAGAUAGUCUGACAAAUAACUUAACAUAUAUAGAUAGUCUGACAUAGAUAGGUAGUACUACCAUUGCCUGACGAAACUGAACCUAGGAACUUACUGAACUUACGGAAGUUCAGGACUGACGAAACUGAACAUUGGUGCAUAACUGAAGGCAGCACUUCACUCCUCCUUCUUCAGCUUCUGCAGGCGCUGGGAGUGGCGCACCGCAGUCACGGCCGCCCUCUUCUUCUUGUUCUUCUUGGCCGGCGCCGGCUCCAGCACAUCUUCCUCGCCGCCAUCUUGUUCUUUCUUCACGACGACGCCGUCUGGGAGAUCGGCGACCUCCGGCAGGGCAUCCACGUGGAUUGGGAGGUUCCGAUCCCCCUCCACGGCGUCGAGGACUGGAGCCAGCAGCUGCACUCCAGGCUCGUCGUCGGAGAGGACGACGACCUCAUCCACCUCGUCGUCAGAUGGCUCGUCCUCAUCAUCGUCACUGGACUCGCCGUCAGAGUCGUCAGAGGGCCCAAGGACCCAUGGAUUGCGCCUCUCCCAGUAGGCGUUGUUGAUCGGGGCUGGGACAGCGAGCACGGCGUCGGUGACGUGGUCCACGGCGGCCGGCACCGUGGUGGAUGAGCGGUACAUCCACCAUCGGGCGCGCUGCCUGGGGUCGGGGGGGAGCUGCACCUCGCGCAUCGCCCAUAGCAGAAGGGUCGGCGGCGGGAUGGUGCGACCGGCAGGGAAGGCACGUUGCUUUUCAGCAGCUGUCAUCACCUUCACGAGGCCGUGGGCGUGGUUCCUCAGCAUCGCCAGACUGGGGAACCAGCGCGCGAUCUCCCUGUAUUGCGCGCGCAUCUCCUGGUUGUUGCCGGCGAGAGCUUCGAUGGCCAGCUGCCAGUCCAUGGCGAUGGCGGUGGGGGUGCUUGUCGGCGGCGAUUUCGACAGGAGAGACGGGGAAGUGGAGUGGGCGGUGCGAGCGGCGAAUGGGCAGAGAGAGUGGUGGGUGGCGUAUUAAAGCCAUAGAAUCUGAAACGUCUGGUGUUACUCAACGCUGCCGGCUAACAACAUAUAAUAAGUUUGGCCGAUGCUAGUCAAACAAAUCAGAAGCACUAGCCCAUUGGUAUUGAACGCAUGGUUACAACCAACUGGUCCUGGGUUCGAGCCCCAGAUCAGACUUUUUUUGUGCAGAUUUUUCUUUUCUAAAAUGAAUUUGGCAGUAAAUGGAAAUGUAACUUCUGACCUGUUUAAAUGGCAAUGUAAAACAAAUAAAACAAGUUAAAACAAUUUCAAAAUGCACCUAAACAAGUUAAAAAAUUUAUCUCAUUCUUCAUCUAUCGUUGCUCUUUCUAGACAAUCAUGGGUACGCUUAUAAAUCUAUUCCACAAGAUCAUAGUGUCCUUCAUCCAUGUCUUAUGCCUGAAUUAAUAAUGUUUGAUAUGCAUUUACAGGUGCAUAUCAAAGAAAACCCGUAGCCAUAGCUAUUAUGAAAGAAAAGAAAAGACAAAAGUCCAAAUCCAAUGGAUAUGCAUUUACACGUGCCAUAGCUAUUAUGAAAUAAAUUACUCAUAAUUUACGACAGAGUGAAACAGAACCUAGAUCCAGAGUUGCACAGAUGGUCAACUUCAUCAACUAGAUACCAUACAAUCCACCUAGCCGUGGUGGGAGAUACAGUUAUAUUUUAAUACAAAUCUAACUCAAUACCACCCACAUGCUCGGAUUUGCCUAAUACAGCGCUAAAGGGGGAAAUGGAAAGAGUCUUAUUUUAGUUGACCGGCUAAUCUCAUCUACGGUUUCUACCAUCUUAGCAGAUGUUAAGAAAACCCGUAGGUUUUUCAUUCGUGCAGGCGUGCCCGCUUAGCUGGUGUAGCGCCAUCGUCGUUGUCCGUACUGGAUCCACAGACGAAUCUGGUAGUUGACUCGCAACAGCUGCUCGUGCUUGUGGGGUCGUCAUCGCCAGCUAAAACAUGUUCUUCUGGAUCAUAUGUAGCCAUCCCCUCGACCGCUGAAAGACGAGAUUCGACUUCAGGUUCUUCUGCCUGAUCUCCAUCCGCCAUUGAGAGGCCAUCAGCCCUCCCGUGAACUGAUUCCUACAUGCAGAAGCCAAAACUUUUUUAUAUCUGCAUUAUUACUGCCAGAACAUGCGAAAGGGGAAGAACAGACCAGAAACAACUAAGAUCAUAUGUACAUACCGCGAUCAAAGAGCAGCCGCGGGAGAGAACAUCAUGAUGCGGAUCACUGCCGCUCGAAUGAUCUCGCUUGUCGACCAAUCGAAUGCCAACCGAAGCAGAUCUUGAUGACACAUGCGCAUCAGAUUGUGCGCUCGAUAGAGCUGCAGACAUAUCUAUACUCGUAUGUGGUACGCACACACCGAUUUGCUUUUAGCACACCUCGCUCACAAGCAGCAGGAUGUAGAGGGCUUGGGGGAUUAGGGUGGCAAGUGGUGGAGGUUGGUGUGAAAGACGGGAGUGCUGCACGAGAGGCAAGGUAUCGGUCUUUAAGUACAACGUGGUUCCCCGAGCGCGCUCGUUCUGUAUGAAAUUCAAACGGCGGGCGGUUCACGCUCAGCGCACUCAUCAGGGUAUGUGUUCACAGCUGGCAUCCACGCCAGUGAUACGAUGUUAAUGCUGCAUGCGAGUACUAAGGUAGAAGUUAAUAUAUACAAUCGGGAGAAUAAACUUACAUAAAAAUAAACUUCCAUUCUGAAAAUACAGAGCACAAAACUUGUUCAGUCCACAAUUAAGUUAGAAGAUUUGUGGCACACAGCGACAAAUGUUGUGUCUUAUUACAGAGAGUUAUGAUCUAUUGGCUGCAAAGCCCUCAACAUCGUGGAUCCCAUGACUUCAAACCAAAGCACUAAUUCUAUUUGUGUCUAUAUCAGUGUUGGCAGCAAUAUGGAGAACAACUUUUGGGUUGUUGCAGGUGUUUCUCCUAUGGCCACCGACGCCGCAAUUUGAGCAUUUUGCCUCCUUCCUUUCCUUCUGAGGAAGAUCACCUCUCUGCGGACAAGUUGUGCUCUUGUGUCCAGGUUCGCGGCAUAUGCUGCAGAAACGAGUGCGCUUGCUUGUGCUGCACUUAUCAACAUCUUCACCGGUUUUGCACUGUUUUAACCUUUUGCUUUUUGCACCCCGAUCAUCGUAUGGAGGUUUAUCUCUGCUGUUGGUAGGUCGUCCAGCUUUCCUUUUACGCUCUGGUGCUUUCAACCCUACAAAAUCACCAAUAGCACUGCCUUCUGCAUCACUUGUAUUGCUGUUCGUGUAUGCGAUUGCUGGAACGGCUUCCUUGUCUUUAAGUUGCAUCCGCUGAGUUCUGUCCUCCAAUCCCAUGCCAUCACGGACAGCAGCUACAGGAGUUAGCUUAUACAUUGUUAUCUUGAGCAUUUCCAUUGCAAUCCCAUAUGCUUCUGGAUUUGCAUCCCCUAACCUCACGACUUCAAGUGCAUGGCUGUAGAGAUUUGAAUGUCUGAAUGUUACUGACUUUACAGAAAUGCUAUCCUUCUGAAGGUAUGAGAGAUGGGCUGGCAGUAUAUCUCAUGCAUCUUUCGUCCAACGUUUGAGAAUAUGCUUCUCUGGUAUGUGAUCUAUGCCGAUGAAAUCCAGUACCUGUCACACAUAGGUGGUGUUUCAUCAUGCAGGCAUUCAAAAGAGAACUUUGCAGAUAUUUUAUCAGCAGCAUGGGGCAGGGUAUCACCUUGACAGCAUGGCAGCAGAGCAGGCCAGUGUGCUCGAAAUUGCCGCAUUCACAUAACACUUGUGGUCCAUCAUCAACCAGUUCUACCUUAUAUAGAAUCCUGCACCACAUUUCAUGUUUUUCUGGAUGGUGUCGUCUGACAAAGUAUGUUUUACCUUUUUCAACUUCUUCAACUCUGUACUGUGAUGCUUCAUAUGUGAUUUGGCCAAACAUGUCAAAUAUAGCUCGAGUGUACACCUUGCUGGCACGAUGCUCCAAGGGUGUGUUCAUUCUCAUUACAGGGGACACCUGAAAAAGCAGACAUUGUAUUAUGAAGAUGACAUGACAUCACCCACUAACAAAAUCCGAGCAACACUUUCUCAAAAACUUACUAUUUUCGUCCUCCUCUCUUCAUAGUUCUCACUUGCCUCUCUAUCAAAAAGAAGCCGCAUGUACUGACGAACAAAUAGAUGCAUUGGACAACUAGCUGGAACAUAAGUCUUCAACAUGUGGUUGGCACUUUCACUGCGUUGCGUACUGGUCAUCUUAGCACAAAACUUGCCAUGGAAAUAUGGCUUCGCCCAUUUCUCUCUUGUCUCAUAUAUCUGGGUGAGAUAAUUGUUCUUAUGCAGACCAUAUGUGUCAAUCAUCUGCUCCCAUGCCGAUUCAAAUUCGUCUACUGUCAACAUGUGCUGUACUAUUUUGUGGAAAUCUGACUUGAAUUUGCUGCGCUUCGUGUAAUAUGAUCCAAGAUAUUCCUUUGCUUUUUUGAGCACAUGCCAUUUGCACCAUAGAUGUGUUGUGUCAGGCAUAACUUUCGCAAUAGCUAAUUCCAUUGCUCUGCAUUGGUCUACAAGAAAAAUCGGAAGUCAUCAUAUUAUGUCAGUACAGUGAUACCACAGUGUUCUACAAUACAAGAGAUUAAGCAAAAUAUCUUAUUCCAUUCCUCACCGGUUAGUAUUGUUUGUGGAUGCUUCCCACCCAUCAUGCAGAUGAAUUCAGCAAACACCCACUGGAAACUUUCCUCUGUCUCGUCCCUGAUCAGCACACCAGCAAAGAUCACACUCUGGAAGUGAUUGUUGAUUCCAACGAACAGCCCAAAUGGCAUGUCAUACAUGUUUGUACGGUAAGUUGUAUCAAAGGUUAUUGCAUCUCCAAAGUAGUAGUACUGUGCUUUGCUGGCACCAGUUGACCAUAACAGAUUGCGUAUGCGUCUUUCUUCGUCAGGCUGUACUCUGUAGUACAACCCAGAAUCUUUUGCUCCUAACUCUGCAAAAACAUCCAUUGUCUUCUUUACAUCAUUAUCAGCUUGUUCACGACUGAUCUUGCCACACAACCCUCAGAGAGCUCUUUUGCUGAACGGUACAUUGCUCAUUGAACCGAAGAAACUUCCGAUUAUAUUGUAAACUUUGCCAACGCUAAUGUUGUUUUCACGGAGUUGUUUAAUCACAUCACGUGUGUAUAUAUCAAUAUGCUUGUGUGAAGGCCAGUAAACUUUCUCACCACAUCUUUCAGUGAGAGCAUGGUUGUGAUCUGUCCUGUACUCAUUUAUAUACCAGCCAUUAUCGGCUGAACGCAGCAGCCGUAUCAUAGCAGGGCAUCUACAUCGGCAUGUACGUUUGUUAUCCUUCUUUGGUAUUCCCUGAAAACGUUAAAAAAACGUACAGCACAGUGAUUGUCAAUAACGUCUUCACUCAUAGGCAGUGAUACGAGACAGUAAAUGACUACUCACCGAACAUCCACAAACUAUCUCCUGCAUGCAUUUGGUUCUUUCAACAUUUAGCCGGCUUUUGCCAUAUCUUACUCCAAACCCAACCUCCCAUGAAUAUAGAUUGUAGUAAUCAUAAGCUUCACCCAGUGUAUCAAAGUUCCUCCCCACAGCAGGAACUAUGACAGUUUCAGUUUUGUUUUCUGCAUAGCUUCGCAGUGUUAGUUCCAGCGCACUCAUCCUAGCAGCACAUGGGGGUCUUUCGUCAGGUACAUGCCCAACUCGGAUUCUGCAUGUACACAGAGAUGUAUACUUUCAGAAUUUUUGUUCACUUAGCUGUUUUAGCACACGACAUGCACAUGGAGCAACAAAUUGUACACACAUCAAACGCAAUAAACCCAAUGCCGUGCAGAUGUACCUCUUCGUCCAGCCAGGGGCUUCAGGGUUGUCUUUCCCUGUAGACUGCUCUGAAGCUGCUGCAGAGAGCGCUACUGCUUCGCAAGUGCUGUUCAGAUCCGUUUCCAUGGCUACUAUGGCAUCUCCCGCUUCUGCAAUGCUGGAUUCAGCAGGCCCGCACAUUGGCGCUUGGUUCGCACCGUGUUUCAACAGCGCCUCUGCUCCGGGCAGAUCCGGCAGUGGAAAUCUAUUUCAAACAGGACGAGUAUGAAAGUAAGGAAUUGAUCUAUCCUAACACAGAGAACAUAAAGUGGGAGCGGCAAGGUUCACCUGUCAACUGGAUCCGACAAGAAAUCGAUUUCCUCCUCUCCGGCGGUGGCAACCUCCAUAGCCAUGAGCUCCUCGCUAUCGCCACCGUCCCAGGGAAGAAGAUAGAUCUGCUUUUACUUUUGAGAGCCGGACGAACGGCGGUGGCCCACAUUACAGUAUUCACCCACGCAUCCGGCACGAGGCGUUUAUGUAACGGACGCACGAGACGGAUUCGUAACGUGAGCAGUCUCAACCCAUCUGUACCAAUGGAACAAUAAUAUCGUGUACCGAAUCUCCCCCAUUAGUCUCGACGUCACCGUUUCGACAACUCGCUUGCGAACGUACGUAACAAGGAUUUGUACAUACGGUUGCAUUUAAUACUAUACGCCACGCGUCACCGCUCCGUCCUUGCCAGAUAGCAGGAGCGCGCGAGCUCGUCCGCGCCAUCGCCGCUCUCGGUUUCUCGGUUGCAAAACUAUGCGAUUGGACUUUGGCGCCCGCAGCAUGAGCUAGGCAAGGACUUUGACCUUGUUUGGAGCCCGAGGCGUCAGAUGUAAUGUGCGCUCACGUCCUUGAUGUCUUCUUGCAUGAGGAAUAGGUAGGCAUGCUUGGUGGAGAAGGGUAAGUACAGAAGCGACUGCAACUUUGUAGACUCGAAAUUUGUUAGGCGAUUUCAAAGGCUAAACUGCAUACCGAUCAAAAUGACCGAGCAAACUACUCUCUCUAAAGUUAGUACAAAGUUAAGACACUUAUUUUAGGAUGAAGGGAGUAUAAUAUUUUGAUCAGUGGAGUGGGUGAACAGACUAGGGAAGCCGUUAGCGAGUGCAUGGUGGUGGACCCAGGUGUCUAGCCAGAAGAAUGCGGAAGCUCCAUUUUGUGUUAGGACGAAGGAGAUCUAGCGAAGGGGUAUAUGUUGGUUGACGAUGUUGGAUAGGAACGAAUUAGGAGUUUGUGAUCUUUGGAUGACAUUAGGGUGAUGGAGGAGAGCCAAGAAAACAAAAGAGUAACGGAGGGUAGUAGAAAUUUGACGGCAACUUUUAUUAGCAAGCGCACAUUAUGGAUGAGGAUGCUUUUGAGCUCUAAACUGUCAAACUCUUUUGGCUUACAAACAUUUUCCCAAGCUAUUAGACAUUGAGCACCUACACAAAACUGAUGUGCAACCCAAAAGAAGGCACAACUUAUAGCAUAAAGUUUUUCAGCUGCAUUUUUGGGUAGGCGGAAAACUGACAUACUAACCCUUAGAAAGAAGAAGGGUAUGCCAACCUGCGAGAAACCAAAGGCGCCUAUCUAAGAUGGGGCCGAAGACAUAAUAUGGUAGUUUAUAGGGAGAGGGGUAGUGUGAGGUACGUUUGUGGAAAGGAGGAUAUGGAACAACCAAGUAUGUUAAUGAUAUUGAUGUCAUUCUUGAGUUGUUCCCAUGAAAGUGGGGUGAAGGUUGUUUGGAAGAUGAUGGAGAGGUAAAUGGGUAGAGCAAACUCAUCUAGGAUUUUUUUAGGAUUUCAAUGCCCCCUGAGAUGAGGCCUUAGCUAAGAUGAAAGUGGCAUCGACGUGUUGUCUCAUUCUUGGUGAUAGGUGGUCGUAGAUGGGGUGGCAGAGAGUGGCUGGAUUGUGUUUUUCGUUGUUUAGUUGUUUUAGAAUGUUGGCGGAGAUGAUAAAUAUAUAGGUAGGGUGAAAGGCGAUUGAUGGUGCAACACACCGAGGGUGUCCCAUCAGCCAGGAAGCCCGGUGUUGGGCUGGCCUCGGGACCCAGGAGGCUUGGUGGCAGCGCGACACCAGGAUGCAACCCAGGGCCCUGCUGGGGAUCAGGAGAUCAUCUUGGCAUACAAGCCAAGAUGCUAUCGGCAUGAAGCUGGUUAGGAACCCUCUGAAACAGAGCUCUGGCCCCCUAUAUAGGGCGACGCUAGGGGUCAUACGUUGGGAAACAUAGUAGAAAAAAAAUUGCUCUACGAACACCCAGGAACAAUAUGAAGAUGCAUAUAGGGUUUGGAUCAACGUUCCUUACCGACUCCAGAGUGCAACGGAAGUAGACGAGUCGGCGUAGAUCGUACUUGGAAUCCCUCGAACCGCCCUCAAACGAUCCCUCGAACAGAAGACCGAAAGCACAUCUUCUCUACUUGGUUGCAAGCGUACGGUCUUCACAAUCUGGCAGCGCUUCGCUAUCCCGAGCUAAUUGUCGCCAGAUAAUUAGAGGAGAAGAUUAGAACUACACCGGGCUUCUAAUUAUGAGGACUAGAGAAUCUAGGUCAGCUCUAAUUGAUCAGCCAGGAUCAACUUAAACUAGAGGAGCUAGAGGAGGCUCCAAAACUUGUGUGACUAUUUUGGCCAAUACCUCAAGUAUACUAGCCGGCCGGCCCACCCUCCCCUUAACCGCCACCCAUCGCCAUGCUUCCUCCGCCCACUGCCGUCCCUUUAACCUAGGCAGAUCUCGAAGUCUGACACCGGCGAACCUGCACCCCCCGCCACCCCUAAGAUAGACAAGGAGGCUCAUGCUCCGCCUGCACCCGUUGCAUCCCUAAGAUAGACGAGGAGGCUACUCCGCUGCGGCUGCGGCUGCCUCCGCCGGUGGCCUCGGUGCUCCUCCACAGCUGCUGCUUCCUCUCCACCUAAUUGACUGAAGCAAAUUUGAAUUUCAGGCGACUGGCGUCCAACAAAACUGUUAAUUUAUCUUGGUUCUACUUAUUGUUACAGGAAUGUGAGGCAUAUGAGAGAUUCUUGGAUGACACCAAGAAUCUCCUUGAGUGUAAGACCUUGGUAUCGUACCAGGCGUGCUGCAUCUCCUAAGGAGAGGGAAUGGUAUAAAGAGGCUGCUUGUAUCCGCGUUUUCAUUUACGGUAUAUUUCAUUGUUUUUCAAAUAUUUUUCUUGUGAAUCUACGUAACUGCCUACAGUGAAGAAUAUUUAUGAUCCAUUAAUUACUCACCUAAAUUUGUUGAAUAAAGGAAUAUUUCGGUCCUCACCAAAAUAUCAAAUAUUUAGAAAAUAUGUGAGAACUAUUUUAAAAAAGCAUUAAGUCAAUCAAUUUUUGACUAAAUUUGAAUCUGCUUUAGUUUAGUCCGAAAAUCCAAAGGCACAUCCGCAUCCUCUUCCCUUGUCCCAGAUUCGCUAGAGAUAAUUUCAUUAUUCGCAUUCUCUUUUAUCAUGUCAUUUAAUCCUCUUAGCUCUUUCUUGCCACUCCCAUGGGCUCUGACAAUCCUUCCGGCGGUGAAAUUGGCCCUUUGAUCUUGCUUCCCUUAUAAAUUACAUCAACCUUUUUCAGUUGAAUGAAGAAAUUAUUUUUGCAAUAAAAAAUUAACACAUGAAACAAACAAUCAAAUGAAAAUUUUCUAUUUUCUGUAUAUGUCAUUUAGUGGCAUGAAGCAAUUGCAAUCGGUACAUACACAUGGAUGUUCUCUCUAGCAAUCAUAAAAUACUAAUGAAAAUCUAGCAAUCAGUAAUCAGUAGCAUUAGGCAAUCAGCCUACGUAUAAACUGCCACACAACCCAGUAUAAUCAGGCCAUGUUUAAUCAGCAUAAGCAUCUCAAUUUAUCUCUCUCUCUCCCCCCUCUCUCUCUCUAUCUAUCUCUCUAUUCCUCUCCUGACACCACACACAGUAACAACAGCAUAUCCACAUAGAGGCUAUCACUGAGGCGGGAAAACGUGACUUUCCAACACGUGAUCUGGACCACUUCUCAUGUGGUUUGGAUUACGAAUGGCACGUCUUACCGCCGACCGGGAGGUCGGUGAAUAUUGCUAGGUACUAACUCUACGUACUUGCAACUAUUGUCCACGUCAAAGGGGGAGUAUCAUAUCAAAUUCCACCUUCGAAACAAGUCUGACAAUUUCCUUUGGAGCCUGGUAGCUGUAUAUGGCGCCGCUCAAGAGGAGUUUAAGUCUGCAUUUCUAAAAGAACUUGUUAAUACCCGUCGAAACAAUCCCCACCCCAUGUUAAUCGGGGGGGGGGGAGUGGAUUUUAAUAUCCUUCGAUAUCAGCAGGAAAAAAACAAUGACCGGUUUGAUACAAGGUGGCCUUUCCUCUAAUGCUGUUAUUGACAGUCUGGAUCUGAGGGAGAUAACGAUGUCUGGUUGUCAGUAUACCUGGGCCAAUAACCGACCGGUGCCAACCUUUGAAAAACUUGACCGGGUGCUAGUUACCACCGACUGAGAAUAUAAAUAUCCCCUAGCCUCGGUUCGGGCAUUAGAAAGAACUGAGGCCUUAUCGGAUCACGCUCCAUUGCUCACCGAUUUUGGACAACCAAUCCGAAGCUCUAACCGUCACCAAUUUAAAUUUGAAUUGGGAUGGCUCACUAGAGAGGGAUUUCAUGACCUGCUUAAGAAAGUGUGGGCGUGCUAGCCUCGCGGUAACACACCCAUUCACCGAUGGAAUAAUCGAAUUCGCGCAUUGCGUCGAUUCCUUCAUGGAUGGGCCAAGCAUACUGCUGGCAUCUACAAAAAAGUAAAACUACGACUAUCUACCUUAAUUGAUUCCCUUGAUAAAAUAGCGGAGGUGAGGCCUCUGUCUGCAGUUGAGAUUGAGCAAAAAAGCAAUCUAAACGAGCAGAUAGCCUGCCUACUACGCGAGGAAGAGAUUAAAUGGUACCAACGUUCUGGAUACGCUUGUGCAAGGUGAUGAUAAUACGAAAUACUUUCAAAUGCUUGCCAAUGGCAGACAUAGAAAGAAACGCAUAUUCGCCCUUGACCAGGAGGAAGGCCGAAUUGAGGGGGACGUACCACUUAGAACUUUUAUUACUAAGUAUUACAAAGAGCUUUUUGGACCUUCAGCUGAAUCAAAUUUUCAGCUGGAUGAAUCCAUUACUCAUGACAUUCCUCAAGUUACGGAAGCGGAAAAUGAAUUCCUAACCUCCCCGUUCUCUGAGGAAGAAAUUCAAACCGCGGUGUUUCAAAUGGAACACAACAAGGCUCCGGGUCCGGAUGGCUUUCCCGCAGAGUACUAUCAAUGUUUUUGGGACGUCAUUAAGGCAAACUUGGUUCAGUUUUUUAACCAAGUGCAUGCUGAAGACCUUGAUGAAAGAUCGUGGAUGUCGCCUAGAGGGGGGGGGGGGGUGAAUAGGCGCUUUAAAAUAAUUACGGUUGAGGCUUGAACAAAUGCAGAAUAAACCUAGCGGUUAAUUUGUCAAGCACAAAACCUACAACAACUAGGCUCACCUAUGUGCACCAACAACUUAUGCUAAGCAAGAAAAACUACUUAGGUGAUAGCAAGAUAUAUGACAAGAAACAAUAUGGCUAUCACAAAGUAAAGUGCAUAAGUAAAGGGCUCGGGUAAGAGAUAACCGAGGCACGCGGAGACGACGAUGUAUCCCGAAGUUCACACCCUUGCGGAUGCUAAUCUCCGUUUGGAGCGGUGUGGAGGCACAAUGCUCCCCAAGAAGCCACUAGGGCCACCGUAAUCUCCUCACGCCCUCGCACAAUGCAAGAUGUCGUGAUUCCACUAAGGGACCCUUGAGGGCGGUCACCGAACCCGUACAAAUGGCAACCCUUGGGGGCGGUCACCGAACCCGUACACUUUGGUAACCCUUGGGGGCGGUCACCGGAACCCGUCAAAUUGCUCGGGGCGAUCUCCACAACCUAAUUGGAGACCGUGACGCUUGCCCGGAGCUUUACACCACAAUGAUUGAGCUCCGAACACCACCAACCGUCUAGGGCGCCCAAGCACCCAAGAGGAACAAGCUCAAGGGUACCAAGCACCCAAGAGUAAUAAGCUUCUCAACUUGUAACAUCCACGUAUCACCGUGGAGAACUCAAACCGAUGCACCAAAUGCAAUGGCAAGGGCACACGGAGUGCCCAAGUCCUUCUCUCUCAAAUCCCACUGAAGCAACUAAUGCUAGGGAAGAAAAUGAGAGGAAGAACAAGAAGGAGAACACCAAGAACUCCAAGAUCUAGAUCCGAGGGGUUCCCCUCACAUAGAGGAGAAAGUGAUUGGUGGAAAUGUGGAUCUAGAUCUCCUCUCUCUUUUCCCUCAAAAACUAGCAAGAAUCCAUGGAGGGAUUGAGAGUUAGCAAGCUCGAAGAAGGUCAACAAUGGGGGAAGAACACGAGCUCAAAGGAUAAGGUACAUUGGGGAAGAAGACCCCCUUUUAUAGGAGGGGGAAAAUCCAACCGUUAAGUGCUCAGCCCGCACAUGAGCGGUACUACCGCUCGGGCGGAAGAAGCAGUGAAAAGGAGCAACAAAACAAGAACCUUGGGGCAGUAGUACCGCCGAUAAGCGGUACUACCGCUCACCCCAGCGGUACUACCGCUGGAGGAGCAGAACACGGGACAAAAGGAGGCAGGACAGAGCAGAGUACGGUGGCAGUAGUGUAGUAGCGGUACUACCGCUCGACCGGAGCGGUACUACCGCUCGACCGGAGCGGUACUACCGCUUAUAGGCGGAACUACCGUGCCUUACUGCCGCGCGACUACCGCUGAACCUGACACGAAAAGAGCAGACCCAAAAUCGAGGCGGUAGUAGAGCGGUACUGGAGCGGUACUACCGCUUGACGCUACACGCGGUACUACCGCUGCCACCGCGGUACUACUGCAGGGAGAAAAACAGAACUGCCAAAACUUCUUCAUAUGAGCUCCGAAUUGAGCAAACUCAAGCUUGUUGGAUACAAGGUUAUAGUAAGAAGAGGCAGGGGAGGUAUACCAACAAAUAGAGGAGUGAAACCUCCAACCGAGAAGAACCGGCAUAACGUCCAAAAUCGAAAACAUCAUAGAAGAUGCGAGUGAACUCCGUUUUCGAUGAACUCGAGCUUGUCAUCAAGAUGACCAUAAGCUCCAAAACUCACAAAGAGAAGAACAAAGCAAGAACCAAUAAAGAUGUUGCAAGGAUGCAAUGGUUUGAGCUCUCUAUGAACGAUAUGAUCAAGCUACUCAUUGAGAGCCCCCCUUGAUAGUACGGCAAUCGAUCCUAUAACCCGGUCUCCCAACUACCAUCAUGAGACCGGUAAAAUAGAAAACCUAUCAAGAGCAAACCUUUGCCUUGCACAUGGUCCACUUGAGCUAGAUGAUGACGAUCUUGACUCCCUCAAGAUGGACCACCUUUCUUGAUUGCGUUGGCUCGAUGAAGACUAGUUGAUUGCUCCCCCAUACUCCACUAUGGGUGAGCCACCCUUCCGCACAUCUUCACAAGUCCAUUGUCACCACAAUGGCUUCAAGCAUUUGAUAUCUUCGUGAUGCUUUACUUGAACUUUCCCGCUUCACUUGAACUUACACACCGCGACCUAACCCCACAAAGAACUCUCACGAAGACCAUGGGUUAGUACACAAAGCGUAAUUGACAAUGCUUACCAUACCAUGGGAUUGCUUGAUCCCUCGGUACAUCUUGUGCGCUUUGUGUGUUGAUCAACUUGAUUCACUCUUGACUUAGUCUUGAUCAACCUUGACUCUUUCCAACUCUCUUCAUUUGGAUGAUGUCUUGAAGGUAAACAUGAAUGAUGACACAAUCUUCUUCUUCAAGACAUGCUUGCAAUAAGCUCAACUCUCACAUGACCAAUCUUUGGAUAAUUCCUUAAUAACACCUUGGUCACCACAUAAACUCCUUGAAACCAACACAUGGACUUCAAGAAAUGCCUAUGGACAAAUCCUUCAAAUAUAACUCAAGGCAACCAUUAGUCCAUAGAGAUUGUCAUCAAUUACCAAAACCAAACAUGGGGGCACUGCAUGUUCUUUCAAUCUCCCCCAUUUUGGUAAUUGAUGACAAUCACUUUCAAGAGAGUUUAUAUAAGGAAUUAUGCAUCACCAUGUAAUGCAACAACCAAUAAUGCAUGCGUAUGAGAUGCAAAUGCUUAGGAACAAAACCAAAUCAAGGAGAAAACUCUGAAGACUUAAGACUUCUCCACAAAACUCUCCGAAACUUCUCCCCCAUUGGCAUCAAUUGCCAAAAGGGCGAAAAUCUUAGAAGGCCAAUAUAAAAAGUGUUCCUCCAGAAAUUGUGUAUUUCUCAACAAGAGAGUGGAAUGCAAUACACAUGUCCAACGGUAAAUCUUGGAGAAAGACAAACUAUAUUGAGGCCCAAAGAUUGCAAAAGAAUGAUAUGCCACAAAGACAUAACAAAGAGAGAAACAAGCAAUCAAAAGAUACCAACUGAAGCAAGCAAUCAACGGAUAUCAAUUGAGCCAACUAGACCAAUGAUCCUACGUGCCACAUGAAUGAAAUAAAUUAGGAUAUGAGCAAAGGAGUGUUCUAGAGAAACUAGAGAGGCUCCCCAUUAUUUGUGCACAAUUUAGUUUUGUAAUUGGAUACAACGAGCACAAAAUAGGAUCGUCACUCCCCAAAGAUCAAUAGAACCUCACGACAAGUGCAAGUGAGCAUGUAGGAAACAAAGCCUAGCACUUGAAACAAACAAAUGGUUGAGCAACAUAUAAAAGAGGCAACUUAAGAGUAGGCUCAACCAAAUGAUGUGUGUGAGUCAUGGCAAAGCACUUGAGAAGACUAAUGUACGGAUGAGCAUUAAGCAUCAACAUAGUCUUGGAUAGUGGAGAUACAAGGUGCAUGACAUGUCCUCCCCACACACACCAAGCAAAAGGGUUCACAAGCACACUAAAAAUGCAAAAUGAAUAACCAACACUUGUGACAACCCAUGGUGGAGAUAGAAGAUGAAAGCCUCAUCAAGACGAGGGAUACCAAUUAAGAUGGCAAAAGCCUCGUAGAUAUAAGCAUGAGGAAAAUAAUCUUCACCACACAGGAGUGCAUCAAGAUGCAACGAGAUAAGACAUGCACUCAAGGCAAAAGCUUUCAUGGAGCCACCAAAGAAAUAACAAGAAAGACAAGGUGGACGUGAAAGAAAGGAUAUCAUCUAGAGAUGUAAUUUCUUUCAAGUGUAUAAGGUUCUAGGUAGACGAGAUCAUGAUGAUAUAUAUCUACAAAGAAGGAUGUACACUCGAAAUAGUUACAACACGAAGGAACAAGAUAUCCAAGAGGAAGUCAUACAUAUACCAAUAAGAUAUUUGCUUGGAAGCAUAGCACAUGGCUAGAUAUGGUCUUAUAAUAUAUACAUGAAUUCCUACCACACACCCAUCAAAGACAUCACAACUAGCAACAUGAGAUCAUCAUUGAGAUGCUUUGUCAUCAAGAUGACCAUAAGCUCCAAAACUCACAAAGAGAAGAACCAAACAAGAACCAAUAAAGAUGAUGCAAGGAUGCAAUGGUUUGAGCUCUCUAUGAACGAUACGAUCAAGCUACUCAUCGAGAGCCCCCCUUGAUAGUACGGCAAUCGAUCCUAUAACCCGGUCUCCCAACUACCAUCAUGAGACCGGUAAAAUAGAAAACCUAUCAAGAGCAAACCUUUGCCUUGCACAUGGUCCACUUGAGCUAGAUGAUGACGAUCUUGACUCCCUCAAGAUGGACCACCUUUCUUGAUUGCGUUGGCUCGAUGAAGACUAGUUGAUUGCUCCCCCAUACUCCACUAUGGAUGAGCCACCCUUCCGCACAUCUUCACAAGUCCAUUGUCACCACAAUGGCUUCAAGCAUUUGAUCUCUUCGUGAUGCUUUACUUGAACUUGCUCGCUUCACUUGAACUUGCACACCGCAACCUAACCCCACAAAGAACUCUCACGAAGACCAUGGGUUAGUACACAAAGCGUAAUUGACAACGCUUACCAUACCAUGGGAUCGCUUGAUCCCUCGGUACAUCUUGUGCGCUUUGUGUGUUGAUCAACUUGAUUCACUCUUGACUUAGUCUUGAUCAACCUUGACUCUUUCCAACUCUCUUCAUUUGGAUGAUGUCUUGAAGGUAAACAUGAAUGAUGACACAAUCUUAUUCUUCAAGACAUGCUUGCAAUAAGCUCAACUCUCACAUGACCAAUCUUUGGAUAAUUCCUUAAUAACACCUUGGUCACCACAUAAACUCCUUGAAACCAACACAUGGACUUCAAGAAAUGCCUAUGGACAAAUCCUUCAAAUAUAACUCAAGGCAACCAUUAGUCCAUAGAGAUUGUCAUCAAUUACCAAAACCAAACAUGGGGGCACUGCAUGUUCUUUCAAUCUCCCCCAUUUUGGUAAUUGAUGACAAUCACUUUCAAGAGAGUUUAUAUAAGGAAUUAUGCAUCACCAUGUAAUGCAACAACCAAUAAUCCAUGCGUAUGAGAUGCAAAUGCUUAGGAACAAAACCAAAUCAAGGAGAAAACUCUGAAGACUUAAGACUUCUCCACAAAACUCUCCGAAACUUCUCCCCCAUUGGCAUCGAUUGCCAAAAGGGCGAAAAUCUUAGAAGGCCAAUAUAAAAAGUGUUCCUCCAGAAAUUGUGUAUUUCUCAACAAGAGAGUGGAAUGCAAUACACAUGUCCAACGGUAAAUACUUGGAGGAAGACAAACUAUAUUGAGGCCCAAAGAUUGCAAAAGAAUGACAUGCCACAAACACAUAACAAAGAGAGAAACAAGCAAUCAAAAGAUACCAAUUGAAGCAAGCAAUCAACGGAUAUCAAUUGAGCCAACUAGACCAAUGAUCCUACGUGCCACAUGAAUGAAAUAAAUUAGGAUAUGAGCAAAGGAGUGUUCUAGAGAAACUAGAGAGGCUCCCCAUUAUUUGUGCACAAUUUAGUUUUGUAAUUGGAUACAACGAGCACAAAAUAGGAUCUUCACUCCCCAAAGAUCAAUAGAACCUCACGACAAGUAUAAGUGAGCAUGUAGGAAACAAAGCCUAGCACUUGCAACAAACAAAUGGUUGAGCAACAUAUAAAAGUUGCAACUUAAGAGUAGGCUCAACCAAAAUGAUGUGUGUGAGUCAUGGCAAAGCACUUGAGAAGACUAAUGUACGGAUGAGCAUUAAGCAUCAACAUAGUCUUGGAUAGUGGAGAUACAAGGUGCAUGACAUGUCAUCCCCCCACACACCAAGCAAAAGGGUUCACAAGCACACUAAAAAUGCAAAAUGAAUAACCAACACUUGUGACAACCCAUGGUGGAGAUAGAAGAUGAAAGCCUCAUCAAGACGAGGGAUACCAAUUAAGAUGGCAAAAGCCUCGUAGAGAUAAGCAUGAGGAAAAUAAUCUUCACCACACAGGAGUGCAUCAAGAUGCAACGAGAUAAGACAUGCACUCAAGGCAAAAGCUUUCACGGAGCCACCAAAGAAAUAACAAGAAAGACAAGGUGGACGUGAAAGAAAGGAUAUCAUCUAGAGAUGUAAUUUCUUUCAAGUGUAUAAGGUUCUAGGUAGACGAGAUCAUGAUGAUAUAUAUCUACAAAGAAGGAUGUACACUCGAAAUAGUUACAACACGAAGGAACAAGAUAUCCAAGAGGAAGUCAUACAUAUACCAAUAAGAUAUUUGCUUGGAAGCAUAUCACAUGGCUAGAUAUGGUCUUAUAGUAUAUACAUGAAUUCCUACCACACACCCAUCAAAGACAUCACAACUAGCAACAUGAGAUCAUCAUUGAGAUGCUUUGUCAUCAAGAUGACCAUAAGCUCCAAAACUCACAAAGAGAAGAACCAAACAAGAACCAAUAAAGAUGAUAAAAGGAUGCAAUGGUUUGAGCUCUCUAUGAACGAUACGAUCAAGCUACUCAUCGAGAGCCCCCCUUGAUAGUACGGCAAUCGAUCCUAUAACCCGGUCUCCCAACUACCAUCAUGAGACCGGUAAAAUAGAAAAUCUAUCAAGAGCAAACCUUUGCCUUGCACAUGGUCCACUUGAGCUAGAUGAUGACGAUCUUGACUCCCUCAAGAUGGACCACCUUUCUUGAUUGAGUUGGCUCAAUGAAGACUAGUUGAUUGCUCCCCCAUACUCCACUAUGGGUGAGCCACCCUUCCGCACAUCUUCACAAGUCCAUUGUCACCACAAUGGCUUCAAGCAUUUGAUCUCUUCGUGAUGCUUUACUUGAACUUGCCCGCUUCACUUGAACUUGCACACCGCGACCUAACCCCACAAAGAACUCUCACGAAGACCAUGGGUUAGUACACAAAGCGUAACUGACAAUGCUUACCAUACCAUGGGAUCGCUUGAUCCCUCGGUACAUCUUGUGCCCUUUGUGUGUUGAUCAACUUGAUUCACUCUUGACUUAGUCUUGAUCAACCUUGACUCUUUCCAACUCUCUUCAUUUGGAUGAUGUCUUGAAGGUAAACAUGAAUGAUGACACAAUCUUCUUCUUCAAGACAUGCAUGCAAUUAGCUCAACUCUCACAUGACCAAUCUUUGGAUAAUUCCUUAAUAACACCUUGGUCACCACAUAAACUCCUUGAAACCAACACAUGGACUUCAAGAAAUGCCUAUGGACAAAUCCUUCAAAUAUAACUCAAGGCAACCAUUAGUCCAUAGAGAUUGUCAUCAAUUACCAAAACCAAACAUGGGGGCACUGCAUGUUCUUUCAAUCUCCCCCAUUUUGGUAAUUGAUGACAAUCACUUUCAAGAGAGUUUAUAUAAGGAAUUAUGCAUCACCAUGUAAUGCAACAACCAAUAAUGCAUGCGUAUGAGAUGCAAAUGCUUAGGAACAAAACCAAAGCAAGGAGAAAACUCUGAAGACUUAAGACUUCUCCACAAAACUCUCCGAAACUUCUCCCCCAUUGGCAUGGAUUGCCAAAAUGGGCGGAAAGCUUAGAAGGCCAAUAUAAAAAGUGUUCCUCCAGAAAUUGUGUAUUUCUCAACAAGAGAGUGGAAUGCAAUACACAUGUCCAACGGUAAAUACUUGGAGGAAGACAAACUAUAUUGAGGCCCAAAGAUUGCAAAAGAAUGAUAUGCCACAAACACAUAACAAAGAGAGAAACAAGCAAUCAAAAUAUACCAAUUGAAGCAAGCAAUCAACGGAUAUCAAUUGAGCCAACUAGAUCAAUGAUCCUACGUGCCACAUGAAUGAAAUAAAUUAGGAUAUGAGCAAAGGAGUGUUCUAGAGAAACUAGAGAAGCUCCCCAUGAUUUGUGCACAAUUUAGUUUUGUAAUUGGAUACAACGAGCACAAAAUAGGAUCAUCACUCCCCCAAGAUCAAUAGAACCUCACGACAAGUGCAAGUGAGCAUGUAGGAAACAAAGCCUAGCACUUGCAACAAACAAAUGGUUGAGCAACAUAUAAAAGAGGCAACUUAAGAGUAGGCUCAACCAAAAUGAUGUGUGUGAGUCAUGGCAAAGCACUUGAGAAGACUAAUGUACGGAUGAGCAUUAAGCAUCAACAUAGUCUUGGAUAGUGGAGAUACAAGGUGCAUGACAUGUCCUCCCCACACACACCAAGCAAAAGGGUUCACAAGCACACACUACUAGGAAAAUGCCUACUAAUGGCGCACCUAAUCUGGCCAUUAAUGGCGCAUUAGUGGUGCGCCAUUAGUAGCACGCCAUUAGUAUAUUUUACUAAUGGCGCACCCCUGGUGCGCCAUUAGUAUCUGGUAUACUAAUGGCGCACCACAGAUGCGCCAUUAGUAUAUACAGCAGUGCGCCAUUAGUAUGCCUCCCAGGGUGCCAUCUAUACCCAGGUGCUUUGGCAUACUAAUGGCGCACAGCAGCGGGAUGCGCCAUUAGUAACUUCGGCAUACUAAUGGCGCACUGUUUAGUGAUGCGCCAUUAGUAUGCUCUGGCAUACUAAUGGCGAACUAUGAUGUGAUGCGCCAUUAGUAUGAAUAUUUGGUUUUUUUUAUAUUUUAUUUUCUGUUUUUUGCACAGGUUACAAAAUGUUUAAUUGGACAAAAUAUAGACAGCACACAUCAACAACAGAUUCAUCGAAUACAAUAGAAGAUUAUACAAUUCAUCAUUUUAGUCUCCGAAUACAAUUCAUCAUAUUAGUCUCCGAAUUGAAAAGACCGAAGAAAGAUAGAACAUUAUAUUACAAGUCUCGAGACCGCGAGUUUGUCUUCACAUUACAAGUCGAUAUCGAUCAUCUAAACUACCAUCACAUAGAAGAGAGCUGCGGUCAUCACGAUGAGCAUCAUCACGAUGAAACUCGUCUUCAUCCGGUUCCUCCAACGCUCCCUCCCCUCUCCCGCUAGAUAGCGGGCGUAUCUAGAUUCGGCCUCGACCCUAGUGGCGUACCCUUUGUAGCUGUUACCGCUGAAUCGGUGAACCUGUCUCCGACACUCCUCCCAGUCGUGGUAGACUCCGGGAACCUUACCCUUGUACACGACAUACCACGGCAUCGCUAUGCAGUAGCCAAACGAAACGUUAGUACCAAUUCACAGACAAUACAUAAGUAAUAUAUAAGUAUGCAACAGAACAAUCGGAAGAGAAAAGCAAGACAUUAAUAGCAUCGAUUACAUCUAAGUUGAAGGACUCUUGAAACCAAAGAGACAUACUACAAGUUCAUUAAAGUUUAAUUACAACAUGAGCCAAUCGAUGUUUCAGAACUAGACACAGCAUCACUGCUUUCGACUCGACUCAAGGGACCGGAGCGUGGAUGAAGCCGCCGUCUAUCGUGGGAGUCAUGAAACCACGGGCGUUGUCAGCCUGCAUUUGUAGGAUUGUGUCGAUGUCAUUGUUGGACGGUUGAUUUCUGAGGUAGAACUGCCCCGAGGUACGAAGGACAUCUUGAUGGAUGAUUUCCGCAAACUCCGACUGGAUGCGAAAGAAUUCUUGUCUGAUGUCCGCGUCCUGGAUUGCCGACACGCUCGCGGCCCAAUCUUUGAGUCUACUCGGUAGCAGUAGUUGAUGAUGGUCCCGUACGAUCGCCCGCAUGUGAUGGAUGGCGUAGUAGGCACCCUUCUGACCGCUAGGCGGCUGCUUGACGCAGCAGAACGUCGUGUUGUGGGAGAACACGUGCUUGCCGUACUUACGAAUAGGCCUGGUGAAGGUGCCUCCAGAUUUGACGUAGCCGGGGAGAACAUCAUCAAGAACCUUCUUGACAUUUGUGUAGUCUACGUUCGACUGACGGUCCGGGUCGAAAUACGUGGCCAUGGAAUUUUUGGGGCUUAGGAGGAUGAGCGUGCAAUGUGUGUCACUGUAGAAAACACGGAAUGUUAAAAGAAAAACGAUCGAAAUCUAAGAAUUCAUAUGUUACGGGGCGGUUGAGGGGAGGACUUACUCGGGAAAGUAAGGCACGAGGAAGUUGUCCUUAUCUUGGUUUGCCAGAAUGACGCCUUCGAGGUAAGAACUCGCGACUUGCCGGUCCCCAGCGCUGCCCAAGAUCUUGGCACGCAUGUAGAAGGGGUCGACUAUCACGAUGUCCGGGGUCUUGUCGCGAAUGAUCCGCAUCUCCAUACUCAGCGAAAAUAGCCGAACGAAGGUGUAGUGCAGCGGAUGAAGGUUCAACAUAGCGUGGAUGUCAUCAAACCGCAGGAUGAUCGUACCCCCGAUGGAGUUAUCCACAAAGCCCUUGCCCUCUGGCACCUUGGCCGCGAAAACCGGGUAUGCCACAUCCUUCUCUCGGAGACGCCGCUUCUCCAAAGAAAGCACACUAUCAUGCAGACUCCGCAUAGCACCGGUUGCAGCAUUGAGCAUAUUUCUCGGUAGCAUCGGCCUACCCGCCACAUGCACCCUCCUCGAGAUAUCCGCAGUUGAAGGUGGCCCGUCCUGAGCACGGAUCGUACUGGGUGCCGGCUGGCCCGCACCCUUGUUAGUCUUUCUUUUGCGUGCCUUCUUCUUGAUCUCCUGUAAUGGGACCGAGUUCUGCUCACAGACCGCCUUCUUGAGUGUGUUGGGGCUGAUCAUAUUUGGCACCUCGCCUAUCUGAGGCUCGGUGAAGUCGGCAGCUGGAGGCGUCUCCUGAGAGCUGAACAGCAGACGACGCCUGUUGCAACUUGGCUUCUCCGCGGUACCAGCUAGAUCGCACACGUCUUUUGUUGGGUUGGGUUCUUGAGAAGGAGGCCCCAUGAAGUCGCCACCAUCCCCAUGAUCGGCAAAGUACUGAUCGACGUUGGCAAAUGUAUCGUCGUCGUCGUCGUUCUGAUCCUGUGCCAUAUGCAUGUUUGGAUCCAGUGGCAUAGGGAUGUCCGGCACCGUUGCGGCGGUCUUGCCAUGGGGCCGACUUGGCGCCGGCACGACUGGCAGUGUUGUCUUUGGGGUGGUGUCCCCCGCCCCCAAACGAAUCUGGCUCUUCGGCCAAAGCAGGGGCCAGCUCAGGCAGGCGCUGAGGUUCAUCACGUCAUCAUCGUCGGCCCCCAUUGGUUGAAUCGGAGGUAACACCUCGUCGCAGCCUGGCAGCACCCGAACCAGUUGAACCCUAAACAAGUUGGGUGGCAUCUGGGUACCGUGGAACAAGGGGUUGCCCGGUGAACGAUUUUUCCCUUGGCGACAUCGACCAACUCGUUGUUCACGAAGUGCAGGAGAGUGCACGGAACGUCGGCGGCGCCCUGCGAAAACAUGUAGGGCGUUAGGGAUGCCCAGUCAAAGGCAAGGAGAUGAAGUCCUCGGCCGAGAGAGGCUUAAUUAGUUACCGUGAUGAUGGCGUCGAGCUCGGCUAAUGUCGAGGCACCGCCAACGGCGGGCGUGCAGUUGACGGAGGGGCCGCUUGCUGCAGAGGUGCCGGCCGGCGUACACCCGGGUGCAUUAAGCUCCCGUGCCGGCGUCGGAGACACCAAUGCCGGCUCCGCCGGAGACACCAAUGGCCCCGCCAUCGCGUUCUGCGAGUUGCUGGCCGUGAAGCUAGGAAUCGGGGGCGGCCCCUGUUGGCCGCCCGCAAUCCACGCACUAAUCCCCUGGAUCAAGGUAGGCACAAUGGCGGUGAUCGUCGCUCCGAGUUGUUGUUGCACUUGCUCUUGGACAAUCUCCGGAAUCCGUGCCACCUGUGCCCUGAGUUCUUGAACCUCACGCGCCUGGCUUUCCGAGCUGGUCUUUUUCUCCUUUCGCCCAGCAGUGUCAUAGUAUGACGACCAUUUUGUCGACAAGCCUUUGCCGGCCACACGACCAGCUGACGUCGGCUUACUGAGCUUAUCCUUGUUCUUCAUUACAUUCAACGCCCUAUUUAGAGUGGUGUCCCAAGGGUUGCUCUUAGUCGACCCCGCGCUACUGCUUUCAGUCGCCUGCGGAAGGAAUGUGAACCAUUUAGAAAUUUGGCUUCAUUAAUUAGAAUGCAACCAUAUGGAGCUAAUUACGAGGGGGUGUAUUCCUUACCAGAACAAGCUCAAGCGCCCUGGUCUUCGGAUCCGUGGUAAGCUCCUUUGUUUUCGGGUCCUUCUUGUACCGGGCCCUGACAAAGUUCCUGGUCUGCUUGUCACCGUAUUUAUCGAAGAGGGGCGGUAGGCCUUGCUCGGCACGGUCCGCCUCCUCCUUGUCCCAUAUAGGCUCCGCCACUCUGUAACCGCCGGGACCGAGUGUGUGUUCCCCUAAGUUCAGCUCCCACAUUUCUUUCCCCCACUUACUUGAUUCGGAGUUUGCGGUGCUCGAGUAAUUGAUCUUGAAGUCAUUGUAGUCAUCUUCGGUGAUCGAAGGAUUUUUCUCCUUGAUCUUCUCAUAACUCUCACCUUUCUCGACCAUUCUCUUCACAUUGCUUUUCCAAGUAGACAGGGCCUUGCUCAUCUUCGUGAGGGCAGCAUUGUUCACUUUAUUCCCUUUGAGGCUUGUGUUUUCAAAUUCAGCGGGGAACUUGUAUCGUUCGUGCAGCUUCGUGAAGAGGAGGUUGCGCAAAUUCCCUCGGUCAGGAUGCCUCAGGUUCUCGGUGUUGAUCGAGACGGUGCUCCGGAGAAUGCACCCGAGCUGAAGCGAGUACCCCUUGACUAUUCGUUCGGGCGCCGUUGGAUUCCCGUCGGAGUCCACUUCAGUAACUUCCUCCUUGAGGGUCCGGAGCACGGUCGGGCACCGGUCCUUCCGUUGCCUCUUCGGUUGGCUGCCAUCUGUGUGUGCGCCGCCAUCAUCAGUGGUGGCAUCCUCGGCGGCACCAUCAGUGGUGGCAUCCUCGGCGGCACCAUCAGUGGUGGCAUCCUCGGCGGCACCAUCAGUGGUGGCAUCAGUGGGGUCAUCCUCGGCGGUACCAUCAGUGGUCUCAGGAUCGGUGGGGAAGGCGGCGUCCUCAUACAAGUGAGGUUGUUCCUCCAUCUCCUGGGACAGCAUCCAGAAUGGCUUGACGCUCGAACCCCCGGCCUCAUCGUUGUUGGCCAUGUUUCUCUCUAAAUAGGAACAAAGUUUGGUCAAAAAGUUGGUUAUUGUCAAGGAACAAGAUCAUGGUCUCAUCAUUUAGGGUUUGUCGACACCGAGGCAUCCUAAAAGCUAAGCUUUUAUCAUUGAGGGUUUUUCGACGCCGAGGCACCCUAAAAGCCUAAGCUUUCAUCAUUUCGGUUUUUAUCGACACCGAGGCACCCUAAAAGCCAUGCAUUAGUCACAAGUACGCCGGGGCACUUGAUCCUACUUAAUUAACUACUAAGAUACCCCGACCCAUGCAUUAGUCACAAAUACCCCAUAUGUCCUAUUUUUAGCAAAGUCAUGCUAAAAUUCACGGAAAAUUUCAGCAUGACCUUUGCUGAAAAUAGGACAUAUGGAGUACCCGAAUUUGCCGGAACGGAAGUUAAUCGACAUUCCGGCAAACUCAAGGGCCUCUCGGGUGGACAAGGCAAAAAAGGCCUCCAUCACAACAUGGAAAAUACACCAAGCAGUAUCAUCUCCAAGCAGUAUCAUAUUUGUAAUGACUGAAAAUAUUUACACAAGCUGUAAUGUACAACAGGCUUAUGGUUUCUGGAACCAUUUCAUGCCCAAGUGAUACAGUGAUACAGUGAUACAAGUAGAUACAGUGAUACACAAGCAGAAACUCAGUACUUUUGCUACAAUGAUACAGUGAUACAAGUAGAAUAUGAAGGCAUUAGGCAUUACAACAAAAGGAACAGAGCUGCUAUAUUUACAACAUUCUUUGAUACAUACACCACCAAAGUCCAAAGAGUAACCACUUAUUAGCUACCAGGAGUAAGUAACUAACUAAAUACACGACCAGAGAAUAACUCACUUUGCCUCUCACUUGCUUCCUUCACCUCAGAGCGAUCUUCUCUUAUUACUACUCCUGCACAACAUUGUCAUAAUUUUUAUUAUCUUCACAACCAAGGUACUGCAUUCUGUAACAACCAACUACAAAACUACAAAUCAAUCAUAAAAAGUAGUGAGCAAGACUGUAAAUGUUCUGAAAAUUAAAAGAAAAGAGUGCUGUCUCAGAACUCAGCAGUUACAGCAGGAGGUACUGUAUUUACUUGGAAACACAAAUAUGUUUUUCAUUAUCUGCUCAUUACACCCAGAGGUUAUUUUUUGGCAAACAAAAUUGAGAAAUUUUAAGACACUACUGAGUUAAUAUUAGCCGUUGAUUUUUUAAUUUUCUGUUUUUUGCACAGGUCACUAGCUUCAGAUUUUUUUCCUCAGGUAUAGGUUGAUGCUUUUCUUCAUAUUUGCCAUAUGAAAAAAUUAGGAUGCUAUCAUCCUAUAUUUUGUCAUGCUAAAAGAUUGUGCCAUGUAGAAAAUUGCCAUGCUAAUCUUUAGAUAAAUACAAAUAGAACAAACUCUUAGAUAAAAUUUGCCAUGCUAUUUUACAGAACAAACAAACAUUUUGCCACCUUGAUACAUAACUGAAUUUUUGUGUAGUAGGUUCAGAUCUCAUUUUUUGUCAUCUUAGCUGCAGUCCUGAUCGUGAGAAGUACAUCCUAUACGUUUUACCAAGGGAACAGUAGGGAUAGCAGAAAGUCACUGUUGUCACUGUCCUAGUGAAGAAUUUUGUGCUAUCUACCUUCUUGGUUUACCCCCUAGUGCUUCGAUACAUAUGCAAUUACACAACUGAACAGUAGUAUGCUGGUUUUACUUACAUGAACAGUAGCUUAGUACUGAUAGAAAAAGAAGAGUUUCUUCUACUAGAGGAUCUUUGUUUGAUGGACUCGUUUGCUGAAUAUUUGACUACAGUAUAGUGGAACUUUUCAAAUUUCACAUGAUAGUUGGUAAUGAGAAACAUCUCGUUGGGAAAGAUAAAAUUGGGUGCACAAGGCAUGCUCUGGUUCUAAAGUGAUAGUUUAGUUUAGUGACUUAGUAUGCUCCGGAAUGGAAAGUUCUUAGGAACCCCAAUGUUUCAUUGUCCAAUGUAGGUGCACUAUAAGCUUGAGCUACUGGGUGAAACACUAUUCCUUGCUGUCAACAUCAUUGAUAGAUCAAUGCAUAGAUAACCAUGUCUCAAAUUUUCUCUUAAAUGGAACAUGCAAGUUUCUCAACUGUUGAGUGAAGCUUUCCUUCAAAAUAAUUAUAAAUACUACAGGAAGGAUAGUAAGACAAUGACAGUUCAUUGGAAUAUAGAUUUUGAGAGGACAUAUAUGGGUUUAGCUCUCUGUAAUUACAUAUUACUUUCCUUGCUGAUGCUAUUGCUCACGUUGUAAAACUGGCCUACAUUGCACACAUGGUUUCCAGCAAAGAAAACAGUUUGAUGAUUUAUCAACUAAAUGAAAAUAUUAUCGCUCGUGUGCUCAAGUAAUAUUUUAGUGCUUAAAACAAAACAAACCAUUUUAUCACUCCUGCAGUCCACAAGAACAGAGAAAGAGAGAAAAAGAACUUCCACCAUAAUCUUGUCUUCCUACUUACUCUUACUGACAAAAAAAAAC